rnacentral:ncRNA from 1 species
CUGCCCGCAUGUGUCGCUGACCUCGUCAGCACCAUGCCAGCAGCCAGGGUCUUCAGGCUGCCGCGGGAUUUCCCUUCCGUGCGACCCGCACCAGUCCGCAUCGCAUCGAGUCUGCGGACGCGCGCCACC